rnacentral:lncRNA from 1 species
ACUGAUGGGAGUUUGCCUUUUACAAAUCUCACAUAUGAUUUUGUGUAAUUCUCAAAUUAUGACUAAAUAUUAAGAGCUUAUCUUUUAUGAGAAAUGAGUUUGCUCUUUCUAGUGUGAUGCUGAAAAAUGAACUAACUCAGGAACUACAAUUCAUAGGGGAAAGAUAAUUGGCUUCACUUUUAUAAAAAUAACCCACCUAUUUGUAUGUUUAUACCUGGAAGGAAAUACAUCUAAGUCUUCAAGAUUGUAGCUGAGACAUCAGCCAGUCAGCUACCUCUACCAUCUUUCCUGUGUCCAGGAGUCCCCAGCAGAGUGCAUAAUCAUAAAUCAAUCCCUCAACAUUUCAUGUACAUGAAGGUAAGUAAAAAUGCAGAAAGAGACUUUUUAAUUCUUUUUUAUUUUAGUAGAUUUUGCAUGUUAGAGAAGUUUUAGGCUGACAGCCAAACUGAGUGGAAGGCACAAAGAUUUUCUAUAUAUUCCUUGCCCGGUCACAUGUAUAGCAUCCCAUUUUCAACAGCCCCCACCAGUGUGGCACAUUUAUUACAACUGGUGAACCUAAACUGACACGUUAUUACCCAAAGUCCAUAGUUUACCAUUGUGAAUAGGCCUUAGUAAUGUGUUGCUCAGGGGUGUGGCGAAAGGAAGCAUUCUUUAGUCCUAUGGUUAGGGUCAGUCUUUUAGUGAGCCUUUGCCUCUGGACUGUGAACUUUA